GGAAUUGACGGGGGCCCGCACAAGCGGUGGAGCAUGUGGUUUAAUUCGACGCAACGCGCAGAACCUUACCAGCCCUUGACAUGUCCAGGACCGGUCGCAGAGAUGUGACCCUCUCUUCGGAGCCUGGAGCACAGGUGCUGCAUGGCUGUCGUCAGCUCGUGUCGUGAGAUGUUGGGUUAAGUCCCGCAACGAGCGCAACCCCCGUCCUUAGUUGCUACCAUUUAGUUGAGCACUCUAAGGAGACUGCCGGUGAUAAGCCGCGAGGAGGGUGGGGAUGACGUCAAGUCCUCAUGGCCCUUACGGGCUGGGCUACACACGUGCUACAAUGGCGGUGACAAUGGGAAGCAAAGGGGCAACCCCUAGCAAAUCUCAAAAAA
rnacentral:rRNA from 1 species